UAUCACUUUACCGAAGGGUAAUGGCCGUCUGUAAUGCACAAGAGUGAUUACCGAAGGUAAAUGACCGUCGGUAAGUGAAUGAUGUAUAUGAAAUUAGAAAGUGAAAUAUUUCCCUCCCCUCAUUUCGCGAAAACCCCUUCUUCCCCAAUAUUGAGAUUCUGUGCCCUUCCUCCCUCGACGAACUGACUGUGUCGCGUGUGCAGACUGCUUCCCACCCUAACCAUAAUUGGGAUACGAUUCUUCCCCAGUCCUCCAUUAUAGUGUUCUGAGCUGAGGAAGGUGGUGGGUGGUUCAGUUGAAGGCUACCAUUGUCGAGGGAAGAUAUUCGAGGAGGCGGCGUAGACGAGGCGGCGCAACCAGGGG
rnacentral:sRNA from 1 species